UUUUUUUUUUUUUUUUUUUCAUUGUGCUCUCAAGGGACGAAAAUCCUUUUGUGGCGUGAAAGGAGAGGCGUUCCUGCCGUCCCCUCCCUCGAACUGAUUGGCUGUGUCACAAGAUGGCCAAAUCCACCCGGAUUAAUGUGCGGCCGCGGAGUGAGGCCGUCUGAGUCCGCCCCUUCGGGCGAGCGAGCGUGUCUGCCGCCCUGGGAGCAGGGGAGGGGGACCCGGAGGGCCAGGCCACCACUUUCUUCAUAUUUAUUAUUCCCGCCCACCCCCUCCCCAGCCCCGGCCCCGCGGCGAUGUUUAUUCAUGGGCCACAUCUGCUGGCUGGCAGGCGACACGUCUCUUGUUAGAGUGCCUGGAGUCCCCAAGGAGCCAGGGGAAAUGGGGCACAUUCCUGAGGACCUGCCUUUCCUCUCUGUCGCACGGUCCUGCGGCUUUGGCAGCCCACCUGUAAUCCUAGCCCUCCGCAGAGCCCACCUUCUGCCCUUUCCACCUGGAGAUGCUGGCCUCUUUGCUCCCAAAGACCCAGGGCUGAAGGGGGCACCCUCUCCCCCUGCCCUUUGCCCUUCUGUCGUUUCUUCCAGAAUCACUCUUCUCCAGGGUCAGUUAGAUACUGAAACCUCAGGCUGGGGGAACCAGCUCAGACGGAGUCUCGCCCAUUUCCUAAAGAGAAGAACUCCUUAGUUUUUUGUCUGUUUGUUUGUUUCUCCUGUGAUUCUGUAGCUCUUUCAUGGCACUUACCAGAGUAUUCUUUCCCUCCCUGUCCAGCCCAGAAGACAAGGUCUGUCUGUGGCUCACCUUUGUCACCCCACCAGGCCCCAACUAGUGGACAAGUGUCGAUGUGUUGACAAUGCCAGAUCCUGAACCCACUGAGCCACCAGGGAACUCCCUGCAAAGCCCUUUUUUCCCAUUUGUAAAAUGACACUGUUUGCUUCAACUUGGCUUUCUGUUUAUCUGCCUGUGUGUGGUUUCAGGGGUAUCAGGCAUUUAAAAAUAUUAAUCGCCAGCGUGAGGAGAAUGGGAAGACCUAUUCUCAGAUUUUGGGAAGUCAGGACCCUCCACUGGGCCACUCAGAGGUCACUCUGUCUGUAGGACCAGCUGCAUGGCAGUCAGGCUAAUAAUUACUUUUGCAUUGGCAUCUGGAAAUGACUGCUAUUUUCUGAUUUUUGGAAAUGGGACAGCCUCCAAGUUACAAAUAGACAAAGAGGAAAAACAGAAAAAAAUGGGAGACAUGGUAGCAUUUUAAUGGACAAGCCAAAUCAAAUCUUUCCAGGUAUUAAGUGAAAAAGUAAGAAUAGAGGAAGCUUUGGACUCAGACAAUUUUAGCAGUGCUCUCAAGAAUUCACAGUAGUUGCUGGCUGGGACUGGUUGUGAGUGGAACUGUGUCUCUGAGAUUGUGGAGAGGGGCUUUGACAAAGUGGGAGGGUCAACUUUCUCAUGAUAAGUAGGAUGUCUUUUAGGUCCAUAGUUGAGGGGCAGGAAGGCGAGGUUGUGGCAACGGGACAUGGGACCUGAAGGGAAGUGGGACAUGGAGGAAGUGGCCCGGGCUCCAAGGGCGUCUGAUCUUCCUCCUUUGAUUAAACCAAGAUCCAAGGGCUUCUCUAUAGCACACAUCCCCUUGUGUCUGCCGAGGGGGUCCUGCAGCCGUCACCUGCAGCGGGGAUGGGCGGGGAGAGAAGGUGUUAAAAAAAUGCAAGUCUGGUCCUCAGCUGAGACGCUUCAGAUUUCUCCGGGGGGGAGGGCCCUGGGAAUCUGCAUUUGGAUAAGUACCCAGAGGAUCCUUAGGCACACUGAAAAAAACCAAUCUGGGUGAGUAGAAGAGUUAAAUCUAAACCCUCUAUGGCUCCCUUAGAGCCCCUGCCUUCCUGAGAGUGGGAUGGGCUAUGAGUAAGCUGACAGUGAUUCUGAGUUAAACAGCCCCUUCGGAAUGAUUAACACUUGAAAU
rnacentral:lncRNA from 1 species